UACGUAGGGUGCAAGCGUUAAUCGGAAUUACUGGGCGUAAAGGGCGCGCAGGCGGCCUUAGAAGUCAGAUGUGAAAGCCCCGGGCUCAACCCUGGGAAUGGCAUUUGAUACUCUGAGGCUGGAGUACGGGAGAGGAGAGUGGAAUUCCCAGUGUAGAGGUGAAAUUCGUAGAUAGUUGGGAAAGAACACCGGUGGCGAAGGCGACUCGCUGGACAAGUAUUGACGCUGAGGUGCGAAAGCGUGGGGAGCAAACAGG
rnacentral:rRNA from 1 species